rnacentral:rRNA from 1 species
AUUGAACGCUGGCGGCAGGCCUAACACAUGCAAGUCGAGCGGAUGAAGGGAGCUUGCUCCUGGAUUCAGCGGCGGACGGGUGAGUAAGGCCUAGGAAUCUGCCUGGUAGUGGGGGAUAACGUCCGGAAACGGGCGCUAAUACCGCAUACGUCCUGAGGGAGAAAGUGGGGGAUCUUCGGACCUCACGCUAUCAGAUGAGCCUAGGUCGGAUUAGCUAGUUGGUGGGGUAAAGGCCUACAAAGACGACGAUCCGUAACUGGCCUGAGAGGAUGAUCAGUCACACUGGACUUGAGCCCCGUCCCAGAUUCCUACGGGAGGAAGCAGUGGGGAAUAUUGGCCAAUGGGCGAAAGCUUGCGCCAGCCAUGCCGGGUGGGUGUAGAAGGUUUUCGGAUGGUAAAGCACUUUAAGUUGGGAGGAAGAGCAGUAAGUUAAUUCCUUGCUGUUUUGACGUUACCAACAGGAUAAGCACCGGCUAACUUCGU